CCUACGGGUGGCUGCAGUCGAGAAUCUUCGGCAAUGGGCGCAAGCCUGACCGAGCGACGCCGCGUGCGGGAUGAAGGUCUUCGGAUUGUAAACCGCUGUCGGAGGGGAUGAAAUGCCGGUGGGUCCUCCCACCGGUUUGACAGAGCCUCGGAGGAAGCACGGGCUAAGUUCGUGCCAGCAGCCGCGGUAAUACGAACUGUGCGAACGUUAUUCGGAAUCACUGGGCUUAAAGGGUGCGUAGGCGGCGGCACAAGUCAGGUGUGAAAUCCCCCGGC
rnacentral:rRNA from 1 species